UACGUAGGGAGCAAGCGUUGUCCGGAAUCAUUGGGCGUAAAGCGCGCGUAGGUGGCUUCGUAAGUCCGCUGUGAAAGUCAAAGGCUCAACCUUUGAAAGCCGGUGGAUACUGCGGGGCUAGAGUACGGAAGAGGCGAGUGGAAUUCCUGGUGUAGCGGUGGAAUGCGCAGACAUCAGGAGGAACACCAAUAGCGAAGGCAGCUCGCUGGGACGUUACUGACACUGAGGCGCGAAAGCGUGGGGAGCGAACAGG
rnacentral:rRNA from 1 species